UACGUAGGCAGCAAGCGUUGUUCGGAGUUACUGGGCGUAAAGGAUGCGUAGGCGGCCCUGUAAGUAUGGUGUGAAAUCUCCCGGCUUAACUGGGAGGGUGCGCUAUAGACUGCGGGGCUCGAGUGUGGGAGAGGAAAGUGGAAUUCCUGGUGUAGCGGUGAAAUGCGCAGAUAUCAGGAAGAACACCCGUGGCGAAGGCGGCUCUCUGGGACGGUACUGACGCUGAGACGCGAAAGCGUGGGGAGCGAACAGG
rnacentral:rRNA from 1 species